UUCUUUGAUCAAAAGAGAUAAAAAAGUUGUAAUGGUUUCUUUCUGUAACCCAGUUAAUCAUUAUCGUGGGGGUGCAGUCACUGCUCCGUGUGCCUUCGUUAACACAAGAGCAGGCUCGGAUCCAAGUUUUGUGGAACUUGGGACUGUUACAACUUCUGGGGAAAGGAAACUCUUUAAGAAAAAGAGCACACACACAAAUCUUACUUUUGCAACUUCUUACAAACUCUGUGAUCCUAGCAACACGGUCCUGGGUCCUCCCAGAGUGGCUCCCAGGGUGAUGGGAGAGGAUUCUGGGGGCGGGGGGCCCGGCACCCCCAGCAAGGAGGACGGCCUGCCUCCAGAUCGUUCUCUUCUUACAGGCCUGUCCUCGACGUCUGUCCCGUUUCUCUCUGCGGCUCUCACACGCCCCUCUGCUCGCCUGAACCCGUCCGCCCGGACGCCACGCGGGGCCGCCCAGGAGAAACCAGCGGCAGAAUUCUUUGAAACAAAGACGUAACCACGGACCUGCGGCUCCGAAGGCGGCCGAGGUACACGCCACGUUUACCCAGCAUGCCUCGGGCGGCCCCAGGACAGGCUGGCUGCGGCCACGUGACUGGGCCGCUCGUGAUCACGUCACGCGGCCGCGCACAAGCCCCGAUCUGCGGCUGCGCGGGGAGGGGCCCCAGAGGCGGGAAGGCCCGGGGGCUGCCGGCCGGUUGCAGGCCGGGCUGGCCUGGUCGCGGGAAGAGCUUGCCGCCUGCGUGGUUUGGGGACCGAUGCCCAUCCGGCCCGCGCGGCCUCGUCCUGCAGCCCGGGCCUGCGCCUGCGCCUGCGUUCCUUCCUUCCUGACAGGUAGGAGCCGAUUUGGGGGCGCAGGGAGCCAGGCGUGCUGGAAAGAACCUAAAAGAAACCGGAGGAACCUUCUAGAAUGUGUGUCUGAAUGAGCUCUGGGAACACUGACCAUACAAAAAUCAGGUUAGACGAUGGUCAAUGAAGCUGAAUAGCCAAUGAUGUCCAUAAAUAAACAGAGCCUCACGCUCCCGCCAUUUUAUACUUCGUUACUUCAGAUGUCCCAAGGCCUGCGGUCUUACCCUUGGCGAAGCCAGUUUAGAGGAAGAGAGAGCCAAAGGGAAAGAAAGGGAACCGUGUCGUAGGUUUAGCUCAGCGCUCUCUGUUUUACCAAAUCCUUAAAUGCUGUGGGCUGAAAAACCGAGUCGGAGAGAAUUUAUACGUGACCUAAGUUAGAACAUAAGUCAAGUCAGUAUAUAUCAAGGACAGAACGUGGCCUCAGAUCUCUCUGAACACAAAGAAGGCUUUUACCAAGAGUAGCUUCAGCAUGUUGAGACUGCGGGCUGCUGUCAGGAUGCCUGACUUCUUCUCUGCACCUCCGUCCCUUCUCAGAUGUCCUUCUGAUGAGCUUCCCAUGAAACUGGAAUGUUCUACUUCAUCUCAAGAACUAAGAGUGAGGAAAGUUCACAGACAAGAUUGUGUUAAAUUCUUCUUGUCCCUUUUUCCCAGUGUCACACGUGAACGGGUCCAGUGCGGAAGGAGGAGAGCCCAGCCAGGCCGCAGGAUUUAAGGAUUUUCAGCCUGUGGAUUAAGGAAGUAGAAGUCUUAAUUUUUAGAGCCGCUCUGUCAGGCACUUUACAGCUUCCUCUUCUAAGUGCUAAGUGCCAUAAAUCUCUGGACGGCCGGUCUCCAAACUCACAUGUAAACGGUCCUGCACACGAGCAGCAAUGGCCACCGACACAAGUGAGUGACCCAUAAAUAAGGCUCACGUGUGGUCCUCGGCUGUCCCAGUCCACUGUCCAUCCACAGGCGCGGCCCUGGGCGUCUGGGGCAGAUGGCCGCACCUGCACACUUUCUGGGCACGGCGUCUGGCAGAAAGGGAGGCCCGAUGCGACAGCAUUGCUGCGGGCCUGCCUUCGUCCGGGUGCUUCUACGGUGCGGGCGGCCUUGACGACGGGUCAUCCGAGAGUGGCCGUCUGAGGCUGGGGUCCCUGGGCAGCAGCCUCGGGGGGAAUUAAGGGUUGGCUCUGUGCGGGCCCUUGCCCACUGAUGGUGAUUUAACCACGUGAAGUGGCCCUCCCGAGGCUGUCUCUGUUGGCUCUGGGAGCGUGCGAGAGCCACUGUCUUAGGACCUGCUGCAUACUUGUCUAGGACUCCUGCAUGAGGACAAGUUCACAGAUGCUCCCCCAGUGGAGGCCCAGGAUCCCAGGGAGAGGGCGAGAGCCCUGAGCUGCUGAACAAAUCCUCUGGUUGAGACGAAGGAUCUGUUUUCCACGCACCCGACUUGCUCACUCACUGAGGGCAGAGCUGGCCGAGGGUCCGCACAUCCAGCUGCUGUCUUUGACCUCUGCCUGUCCCGGGAAGUAGGCAGAAUGCAGUGAGUGGCCGUGACGUUCAGCUCCUCUCGCUGAGUUUCUACAGAGAGGACCUCAGAAUGAGGAGGAAAGUCGGAACAUUUGGAGAAUACAGAGAAGCAUCAAGAACAAAAUCAACGCCAUGCGAAAGGGGGUUAUCCAACGGAGACCGCAGUGUGGAAGGGACCUUUCAGAGCAGCAGAACGGGCAGUGGGAGGGUCCAGCUGGCCCCUCUGUCCUCCAGGCCCCUCAGCGGACCUCGCUCUCUGACCUCCCUUCUACCCCAUGGGGGUUGUUCUGCGGCAUCACCUCUGUUGCUUCUCCACAGCCAAGGACGGAAGGAAAGUUCUGUCCUCUCUCGGUCCUGCGAGUGCCGCUCGCUCCCGUGCUCGGGCAGGUCCGUCCAGCCCACAGACUCGGGAAUCUUUCUGGUGCACUACUGACCGUACCCGUUGUGAUGGCCACUUAAAAAUCCCCACAAAAGUGUCCUUAGUUUCAGAAAACGUCCUGUAAGUUCUCAGUUCUAAGAUAGUUUUGUAAGAGGAAGGCGCAAUGGAAAUGAUGGAAAUGUUGUAAUCCUACUUGUUAAAGCUGUGGAAUCAAAAGAAUGUCUUCUGCGCAGCCCUUUAAAUCCUCCAGAAGGCCCUAUGCCAGAUUUUCCUGAGCGGCCCGUUUUAAUCGCGGACCGAUCGAGAUUUUUAAUGAGAGUUUAUCUGGAAAUUGCCGGGGCAGCUUCCAUAGAUUUCCCAGCAGCGCUCCUGCCAGAGGUGAUGUGGAUUUACUCUAACUGUUGUGCUUUGUGGAAGAAGGUGUUUCACGUGAAAGGAGGUGAAUUAGAAUCUCUUGCUUCGUUUCUGGCCUGGUUUCUUGCUUCGUUUUCCUCAAAAUGAAGCCGUCAGUCUCGGUAGGAUGCGGCUCUACCUUGACUCCAGAAAAGCUCUGCUCUAAGUACUUCUGAAGUUCUGGUAUGAUCUUCUCUUUUAUUUCUUUCUUCUUGCCCUUGAGGUAGAUUUUAGGCAUUCCUAUGAAAAGAAAUGUUUCCAUCUUGAAGCAUUGCAUUUAGUGGUAAUUGUCAAGUGUUACUCUAGAGAGAGCGCCUUGCUGUGAGAGAGAGCCACGCGGUGUGUGAAACACACCCCCAGGUCCCCUUGGGGCGUGCCUUGUGCGAUGGUGGUGGAGGGGAGUGGAGGGGAGCGAGUAUCUUUACUUCCGUGAUCAAGGAAACGGAAUCCUGUCUGUCUGUCAGAGGGGAUUAGGGAAUGAUGGUCAAAGGUGUGGACCCGAUGAGAUUUUACUAGUGUCCCCAGCUAUUUCUUUCUUUGCCCUUUGCCCUCUUUCGGGGUGGGGGUGGUGAGGGGCUGCUUCUCUACAGGGUCCCUCUUCUCCCUGCCGCUAGAAGUCUUCUGUGGAGCAGGGGACCCUGAGGUGCUGUCUGCACCCAGCAAGGGCUCUCCGCAUAAGGGACCCAGAGUACUGGCCAGAAACCCUAGGCAGCCUCGGCGUCCAGGGUCUGGAUGACCUAGCAGGACUCUGGCGGCCUACAGCUGGUGCUGGCAGGGCCCGGGAGGAGCUGCAGGCUGGCCAGGGUCAGGCUGGCAGCAACAAGAGACCUUCUAGAAACUGCUCUAGAAACCACUCGUGACAGGAAAGGCGCUCCAGGGCUCUGCCUUGGUCGGGGCCCCCCGAUCGUGACCCAGCCUGGUGAGGUGAGUUGGGCUUGGCAUAGCAGGAGCUGAGCCAACUGCUGACGCCUUGAAGGACCACACGGUGCUGACAGCUGCAUUCAGUUUCUAGAAGCUUCGCGGCAUGAGCCACGGGUCUUCUGCUCCACGCGGUAUCUUCACAUGUUCUCUUUUCUGGAUGUGACUCUCAGCAUCUCAGAAAACAGGCCAGGUGUUAAUUCUCAUACUGGCAAUGGAGCAAGAGGCCGGCCCCGUCUAAACCCUGGCUGGUCACUUCGGCCUCGAAACGCCAGUAGCGCUUUUGGCUGUGGCACCCACUCACGUUUUUGUAGCUGUGUUAUUGGUGAUGAUGACAGUGAUGGUGAGAUAUACACAGAAGUUACGGCAACCGCUUUCAAGUGUAUGGUUCGGGGCAUCCCAUUCACGUUAAUGUGCAACCGUCCCCACCGCCCACCUCUAGGACUCUUGUUAACCCCAAACUGAAAUUUUUGCUACCUUGUUUUUUGAAUUUUUGAAUUAUCCUAUUCUGUGUCUUGCCAAAUAGACUGUCCAUCUCUUGAGGAUAGAACAGAGCGUGCACAGGUCCCAUCGUGUGUCUCACACGUAAUCAGAGCUCCAGUAUGUGUUCGGUGACGCCAGCGUGCAGCUUUAUGGUAGAGUCUGCUUGUUUCUCAGCAACCUUUUUUUCUCAGCCUCCUCACCCACGGACCCCUGUUUAUUAAAAUUAACCACAACUCUCAGAUGGCAGGUGACUGGGUCAGGACUGGGCCCCUGGCCCAAGAAGGACCAAAUAUAGUCUUCACGGCCUGGAUUUGGGACAGUCUCUUUUACUUGAGUAUGUGCCAGGAAAUGUAACAUUGAACUGAAGAGCUGUGGUAUCCCUAAAAUUGCAGAUAGAGGAGAAUCUGGGAUAAGAUGCAAGAGAAAGAAUGUACGUGUGAGAGAGAGUUCGUGUGUGUGUGUGUGAGAGAGAGAGAGAGAGAGAGAAUGUGAGAGUCUGUUAGAAAAUGUGUGUGAAAUUAAAUGUGUGAGAGACUGUAUAAAAGAGUGUGUACACAUGUAGGUAUGUGAGAGGGUGUGAAAGUGUGUGGGAGCUGUGUAAAAUGGAAUUGUGAGAGUGUGGGAGAGAAUGAAAGUUGUAUAAGAGAAUGUGUGUGUGCAAUGGCAUGUAUCUGAGAGGAUGUGUAAGUGGAAAUAUGUGAGAAAAUGUGUGUAUGAGAGACUGAGGGUGUGUGUGGGAGAGAUCAUGUGUAUUGUGCGUGUGAGAGAGUGAUUGUGAGAGUGCCUGUGGGAGAAUGUGUGUGAGACAGAAUUAUGUGUUGAAUGUGGGAGAGAGAGGAUUAUGUAAGAGUUUGUAAGAAUGUGAAAAAAUGUGAGAUACUUUGUGUGCAUGUGUGUGAGAUAAUGUGGAUGUGAGAAAAUGUGUGAGAGACUGUGUGUGGUAAGGUAUGUGAAAAGGUGAGUGUGAGGUGAGUGUGUGUGCAAGAAUGGAAAAGAAUGUGAGAAUGUGUGUGCAAAAAUGUGAGAGUUUGUUAGAAAACGUGUGUGAAAUUAAAUGUGAGAAUGUGUGUAAAAGAGAAUGCAAAAAAUGUAAGAAUGUGAGACAGAGAAUGUGUGUGUGAUAGAAUAUAUGAGAGACUAUGUGUGUGACUGAAAAUGCAUGUGAGAGCAUCUGCAUGAAAGGGAAUUGUGAGACUGUGUGAGAGACUAUGAGAGUAGUAGAAGAGAAUAUAUAUGUGCGAUAGCAUAUAUGUGAGGAUGGGUGAAAAUAUUUGUGAGAAAGUAUGUAUGAGAGACUGUGAUGGUGUGUCUGUGACAUGAUGUGUAUUGUGUAUGUGAGAGAAUAUGCGUGAGACAAUUGUGUGUUGAAUGUGAGAGAAUUGUGAGAAUUAUGUAAGGGUAUGUAUUUGAGAAUAUGAGAAAACGUGAGAUACUAUGUGUUUGAGAGUGUGUGUGGUAAUGUGUGUGAAAUAGGCUGUGAGUGGGGUUGUGUGUGCAAAAGUGAAUGAGAAUGUAGGAGAGUUGUGAGAGAAUAUGUGUAAGAGGGUGUGUGUGAAGGAAUUUGAGAGUGUGUACCAGAAGGUGUGUGGUAAACUGUGUGAAAAUGCUUGUAGGAGUUGUGAAUGUGAGAAUUAAGUGUAAGUAUGUUGAAAUAUGUGAGAGAACAUGUGAAAGAGUACGUGAGUAUAAGUGUGAGGAUGUGAGAAUAUUGUGUGAGGGUGCAUGUGUGUGAUUAUAGAAGAGAAUGUGAAAAUGUGAGAAAAUAUGUGUGAGAGUGUAUUUGAAAGAAAGUUGUUAGAGUGCAUGUGAAAGCACAAGAAUGUGAGAGAGAGUAUGUGUGGACAGGUGUGUAUGUGAGAGAGUGGUCAUAAUUGUGCGUGAGAGCAAAUGUGUGUGAGAGCGUGAAAAUAUGUGUGAGUCUGUAAGGAGAUGUGCGUAAAAGGUGUGAGAGAACGUGUAUGAGAGUGUGUGUGAACAAAUGUGUGAGAGAAUCGUGUAAGGGAUUGUGUGUGAGAAUGAGUGUGAGAGUGUAUGUGGGAGAGUGUGUGAGUCAGUGGUUGUGAGGUUGUGAGUGAGAGAGAACACGUGUGAGUGAAUGUCAGAAUGCAUGUGUGAGAAUGUGUGUAUACGAGAGUGAGUUUGUGUGUGAGAAAAGUGUGUCAGUUAGCCCUUUGCUUCUGAUAUUUAUCCCACUAUUUCUUAACAUCGUCCCUUUUCGCAGUUAGUUUUUCUUUCUUCUUCCCAUAAUUUUGACUGUUUGUUCUUCCAUUUUGCCGGAGAAGAUCUUUGGGAGACUUGAAGUCACCAGGACCCCGGCGUGUUCAAAUGUGUCUUUGUUGUGUCGUGCCUAACAACAGUUCCCUCAGAGAUCCAACACUAGAUGCGAAUGGUUUCUCUUCAGAAUUUUGAGGACAUCGGUCCAUUCUUGUCUUGGGGAAAUUCAACGCCAUCUUGAUUUCCGAACUUUUAAAAAGUGACUCGUGUUUUUUUCCUUUCUCUUUCCUCCGGGAAAUCCUGGAUCCUGCCUUUAUCACCACCGUUCUUAAAUUGCAUGGUGAUGUCCUUGAUGUAAGUCAUUCGUUGGGUUCUUUCAAUCUGGACCUCGUGGCCUUCAAUUUGGGGGACUUUUCUGGUGUUAUUUCUUUCAUUAUUUCCUCCUCCAUUUUUUUGAUUCUUAAAAUGCUGCCCUUUAGGGAAAGAGAAGAUAGUGGCAUUUCCCAAAAGCAUCACAUCACACACCCCCACGUCCCGUCUUUCACCACCCCACGGGCGCACGCACACACGAGCACACGCACACAUGUGCACACAUACACGGGCAUGUUUGCGUGCCUACCCCGUUGCUGUUUUUCCCUUGUACGGAGCUCCGUUACCUGACUCCUAGUUAAACUGACUUAAAAUUGUGCUGCAUCUGGACACGGACUGUGGAGGAAUGUCGCAGGCGGGCACCCGGGCCCUGAUGCCCUUCACGGCGUGAGGUGCCCGAGCGAGAACGAGGAGGGCGGGGGAGGAGGGUCUGCCACCACUCCCACCGUUCCUCGGGUGUGAGCUGGGGAGUCCGGCUGGACCUGGGGGUUCGGGCUGUUGUGGGAAGGACAAGGGUUAAGGCCGGGACGAGCUCGUUUAAUCCCCAGUCCAGACCCUCACCCCCUCCUGUCUGUUAGAUGGGAUCACGGAAAACACAACGUUAGCGGCUCGCUCAAGGUCACCCCGGGAAGUGAUGGAGCCGGCGUCCGAGCCCAGGUGCGGUGGGCAGGGAGUCGGGUCACCUCUGAUGGGGCUACAGGUGCAGGUGUCGCGGUCAGAGGCAGGGGACCAAGAAGUGUCCGCUUCCCCCAGGGGUGAAGGUGAAGGAGGCAGAGCGAGGGCGGAAUGGAGUGGUGCGGAUUGACACCCCCUAGCACCCACCGGAGACCUAAGUGGAGGGCGGGUCACGGCUCGUCAGCCUGUCCCUUGAGCGGCCGCGUGUCCUGGGAAAGCCACCUGCCCUGGAUCUGUUGCCUCAUCUACAGCAGGAGUGGGGGGGGGCAGAACAUCUCCACGGCUCUUGGCGACUCUGAAGUUCUGUAAUUGGGGUGCUCGCUGUCUGCGGGACCUCGUUGUGACCUGUUCACUGAAGUUAUUUUCUGUGAAAAAGAGCAGACUUCUGUUGUAGGAGAGACAACACCGUCACGGGCCAAGCCGUGUGAGUUCCAGGGAUGUUUCCACUUCGCUUUCACGGACACACCAGUGUGAUGUCAGAUUUCAACGUUCGUCACGCCGCUGGCCCCCCCCCCCCCCCGCACUCGGUCCAUCACCACGUCCUGUGAGCCCUACCGCCCUCCGCCCCAAAUACCCGCAAAGUGCCUGUGUCUGUCUGCCCUGAGCCCAGCCCUUCGCGGGCCCCGCACCCCUAACUCCUCCAGGCCGCACAGGGUCGGGCAGCCGCGGGGAGCGCCUCUGAGCAGGGUGGCUUCCGGAGGCUCCCGGCUCUCCUUGCUCCCUUGUCCCCGCUCAGUCUCGCUUCUGCUGGGUCUCCCCCCACAGAAGGAAAGCGGCUGGGUGGCAGGGUCCUGCCUGCUUGCUCGCUGAUGUAGCCCAGCGUCUGGAGCCCUGCGGGCGCCAGGAGGCACUCGGUAAACGUGUGCAGGGGUGAAUGAGCGAACGGACCACAGCUGGCCAGGGGAGGGCACAGGUUCCCAGCGAGAGCGGGAGCCUCGCUCUCUCCCGACCCCCGCCUCUCUGACGGCUCUGAGCUGAGUAAGUGUGGACCCGCCCUCAAGCCUUAGGUACCAGGAAGUAGGUGGAAUUGAUUUUCAGAGUUAAGAAUUCGUGAAAGAUACCUAAUUGUUAUUAUCUUACAUUUCUUUCCAGUUGGUUCUAAAUUGUGUAUGAUCUGCCCAUCAGUCGAUGCUGCUAACAGCCAAAGGAAGUGGCAGGUGUAUUUUCUCCUUCAUUUCUGUCUGCAGUUCCUAGGGGCCGAUGAGCAUCCCUGUAACAAAGGCUCCUCUGUCCUGUGUCCUGUGAUGAUGCAGCAUCACCAGGGGCCACCCGUGCAGAGGUCCCCCCGUUGUCCUGGCGUCCGUGUAUCAAACACACACGGGCCCACGGCCCUUCUGCCACUCACGGACCCCCCACCAGCACAGGGACAGGGUCCAGUGGGAGGCAUAUCAUGUAGGGCGCAGGCAAAAUAGAACAGGCCACCGCAGGGUCUGGUGACGGGCACUGGGUGCACACGGGGUGGCUGAGUCUGAGGUUUUAGGGGGACGUGAGCCUCUACCUGAAUCUGCGGACACGGGGCAGAGUAUCCCCACGGCACACGCGUUAACAGCACUGCCACACGCUGGCAGACCCGGAAGCCAGAGGAGCAGGCGUUUACUCUGAGCCCCUGGAUGGAUGCCGCGCCCAGAACCCGGGGGUCUUACAAAAGAAGGAAGAAACAGGCAAGUGCCAGGACCCCGCUGGGGAAGAUGCUGCAGGUCAGUGAAGUGAUCGUGGCGCACUGCCAGUUUCUGGCCCUCUCCGCGCCUGCGUAACCUUGCUUAGAGGAUAAGAGCAAAUAUACAGAUGCAUCUGGGACUGGGCAGGUGCCGAGGCGCGUGGGUGCCAGGACAUGUGACCUUGCAGCAGCAGCAGAGAGCCAGGCAUUCCUCAGAAGUACGUCUGGAAGGUCAGCGCGUCCUAUAAAUUGGAGAGAGGCAAGUGGGUGAGGCUGGGGACCUUGGGUCACGGCCGGAGCCUAGUUCCUCCAGUGUGUUCCGGGCAGAGCAGAUACGGCCAGGGAACCCUGGCUGGACUGCUCUGCCCUUGGCUUGCCUUUGGGGGGUGGAUUUGGAGAGUUCCGGAGAACCGCCCCUCUCUGUGUCCCCUGUGUCCCCCUGCCCUUGUCGGGGGAUGCCCCGGAUGGAGCCCCUCCCACCACCCCCGCCAGCACCUCGGUGUCUGCCCCGGAGAGCUCUGGACACUCAGGCCUGGGUUAGCGUCAUGCAGACAACCCUUCUUUACUCUUGCUGCGUGAGUUGGUGGAAACAAGAAGGUGACAUGAAGAGUGCAUUUGGACACCAACAGGGUGGGAGGCACAAGCGGCAGGCGGUCACGUCCCGUGCGGCCUGCGCACGGGCUUCCUCACAGGGCACGUUAGGGGCGAGGUCCCCACCUUCAUCGCACCAAUAGUUGGGAAUCCCUCCCCUGGUUACAAACAUACCUUGGUUUUACUUGAAAAAUAACAAAUGAUUUAACCAAGUGUCUCUCGCCUAGGAUGUUAUGAAGUGAUUUGGGAAGAAAUGAAAAUAUAUGGCUGUGUCUUCUAAAAGGGUCACCUGCUGACCCACAGAGGGUGAGAGAUUUUCACCUGUGCUUCUGAACUUUUCCUUUCUCUCCUGCUCUGUUUUGCGCUGCACGUGUCCACCCAUUUCCUCUGCGGCACCGGGCCUCCCGCUGAUUAUUAACGGAGACUGCAGGGAAACCGUUCGGGAAGGACACCUCUGAGGGAUCGUUACAUCUGCACAGAGUCUGACUUAAGGAGGGUGAGUGAUUCAUCCAUGUGGGCACUGUGCACAAAUAGGUUUUUUCUGGGUGUGACACUGGACCGUUGUCUUCAGACUUCAAGAGGAAACUGCUUGUGAUAUGUAGACGAAAAUGGAGAACAGGCUUCUAACCAGGACAGCCUGAGAGCUCGUGACGAAUUUGACCCUGUGCACAAUAGAGCUCAUUCACACUUGAGGGCAAUUGAAAUGUCAAAUAAUUCUUAAAGCAUAAUGCGUGGCUUGUUGAUCCCUGCAGAAGUCUUCAUGCUCUUUGUACGGUGGAGAAGAUGGGCGAGGAGCAGGGUGGAGCGAGAAGAGACACUUGUCCAGAGGCUCCUGUCCCCAACCCCCCCCCCCCGCCCCCCGUGUGUGCCCUGCUGCCCUGGGAGCAUGCCGGAGACACACGAGUGUUUCCGGACCAGCAGUGAAUAGAGGAAGCGGGGCCCAGCAUCUUCGCGGGUUAGAGAUGUUGUACCAAGUUUACCCGUGGGAGGCAAUGAAGUUCGAAUGAAUUGCUAAUUAGUAUCUACAGCAGUGUUUUUGGUGAUCAGUACAUAAAAUACUCUUACAGACCGCUAAGGAAAAAGGCAGCCCAAUAACUCUGCUCCAAAAGAAAAGUAGAUUAAGAUCUGAACAAGUAUUCGCAAAAGAAAGAGUUCAAAAGGCAGGUGAACGAAUGGAAAAUACCCUGAUUCACAAACUGCUAAAGAAACGUGCAAAAACGGUGUUGUGUUCUGCACUUUGGUGGGCUCUACAGACAGCAGGCUUCCCCUACACCGUAACGCCCAGCUACCGAAGGUCUGGGAAGCGGCCCGCGUGUGCUCCUGGCGGGAACACGAGUGGGCGGCACUGUUCAGACGGGCUUGGCUCCAGCCCCGUCACAUCUGUGCACGUAGUCGACCCUGAGGGGGACGUGGGGGUGAGUACGCGGCGUCACCCCACCAAUGUGCUCCACGAGAUGAAGGCAGAAAUAACCCAAGUAUUGGGUGACAGGGACACGGCAGAGACUGCUAGCUGUUCUGGCUCCCCCCUUCCUCCCACAGUGAGAGGACUUGGCCACGUUCAUUUUUUCUUACUGGAUCCGUGUGCACCAAGUUGAAAUAAUCAGUAUCCUGGGUUCAUGAAAAAUCGCCACGGUUAGCCUGUGCGUGCGUGUUUUUUUAAGUUUGCGUCUUUGUAGCAACGAGGUAAGCGCCCGUGAGCACAAGGCACAGCGCGAAGGCCAGAUCCUCGCCAAUAACUGUGUUAGCCCACGUGCCCGCUCGUCCUGGCUGAGGGGACCCUGGCUCUUCUCUCCCUUGUGUGCAUCAUGUCAUGUUACAUGUGUGCAUAUAUUCCAGAAGGUAGAUUUCUAGUUGAUUUUUAACUUUGCAAAAUAGUGGCCUGUGGUAUGUCGUCUUUGAAACUUACUUUACAUGCUGUUGUAUGUUCCUGUAAUUUCUCCACUUUGACUGUUUGUGUCUUCUGCUUAUAUUAUAAUAUACUAAUCACGUUCCUCUCGAUGGCUAUGUGAAAUGUCUCCUGGUUUUUUCUCCCAGGAGCAGAGCCACUGUUCAAGAAUGAAUAUGACAUUCCCAUGUACAUCUGCAGGUGUGCGUUUGCAGUUUCUCUCUGUUGUGUUUGUUCUCUGGGGCUGCCAUACGGGGACCUGUUCCCUCAGUCUGGGGGCCAGGAGUCUGAAGUCAAGGCAGGACUGAGCUCUAGGGGAAGGAUCCUUCCUUGUCUCUGUCAGCUUCUGGUGGUUCCUGGCGAUCGAUGAUCCCAUUUAUAUGACAUGUUUGAGAUGACAUUAAAAAAAAUUUUUUUUAAUGUC